CGUGAAUGAAGGAACGGAAAAGACGCGAUUGGAUGUCCAUGCUUCGUUUUAUCUAUAAAAAUCUUGCAUUUGGAUGGCCUCCUGGGUGAAGGUCAGUGGAUCAGGUGGAUGUUUGGCACAACCCGACAAAUGAAGCAGGAGAUUUUGAGCAGAGAGUCUAAAUGUCAUGAUGAAAUCUCUCAGAAGCAGCAUCACAAUAAAUCAUCGCAGACUCUCCAUCUUGGCACACGGCAUACUAUUCUCAAAUCAGAUUGCUUCAUAAGGAUCCUAUGAGAGGCCACAGACCCGAGUUACCACAGCGAUGGAAUGCAUCUUCUGUGGGUGACUGCAGUCGUGUGUCUAGUGUGUCAAAGCAAGAAAGUGAUAUUUCCUUUUCUCUGCCAAUGACUCCUUUUCGUCAAAUCCAAUGUUUACCAUCAUUUAAUUACUCUAUCUGUGCACCAGCAGAUAAUAAAAUAAAAAUGAG